UAAAUGAUAUUUACAAUGAUAUUUUGUUACAUUUUCCAAAAAACAUUAACCUCAAGAAAACAAUGUCCUAGGAUUAUUGUACUUUAAAGCAGUUUCAUUGGUUACCCUGCAACAUCUGUCUUAAAGUUUCAAACUAGGUCGGUUUCGUAGUGACUUUAUAAAGCGAACUAAUAUCGUUUCAAUCCUUUGAAACGAACAAAAAUCGACUAUAAAAAUUACGAAUACGUUUAUAAAGCGCUUAAUUAGUGAAAAUCAACUUGAAAUUAUCUUUACCUAAUUAAUUCUCUAAUGACGAAAAAAUUUUAUCUGUGAAUUUAUCAUUGAUAAAAAAUUUUAUUAAUAAAACAGUAAAAAAGUUUUCAGAAAAGUUUUAUUAUAAUUUUUGGAUAGAUGAAGAAAUUAUUUAAUAAAAAAAUAAUCACUCUUUUCAACUUUAAAAAUGUAUAAAAUUGUGUUUAUAACCUAUAAUUUGCUCAACUCAUGAAUUCUUUAAUAUUAUUAGUUAGUAAAUUACCACGCAAGAUGGCACCAGUAUUCUAAUACUUAUAAUAUAUAUUAUACUACCCCACGAAAUUAAAUAACUAUAUUCAAACGAUUCUAAAAUCGAUUAUCUAAACGAUUUUUUUGAAACAAGACAACCAUGAAACAUAAUCGAUCUAUUAUUGUUGAAAUAAUUUCGAAACAAGAUAUAUUUUGUUCUAAGUCUCAUCUCUGCACAAUUCAAUUUCGAUAUUCUUUGAGACCGAGGAUAUAAAUGAUCCAUAAUCAUGAUAACGAUAACAUUGGAAUAUGGAGAUGAAAUAAAGAUGUGAAAUCGAAUGCGAUAAAUGGACGACCGAGGUCAUGAGGAAAGAAUUAUACAAGAUUAAAAGAUUAAAUCGAUGAAGGAUUAAAUCCCAACAUGAAUUUUGCCCCGUACUAAUGAGUGUCUUAAAGAUACCGGAAGUCGAGAACUAGAAAAGGAACCUACGAGUUUCGCGAGAAGCUUUAACGAGGUAAACGUACAAACACCCCGGGUGACGAAUUCAUUUCUACAUUUGCAUGAGUAAGAGAUAUUGAAAAAAGAUGGAUUAUACUAAAGAUCUACACUUGAAGAAUAAUAAUUUCAAAGAAUAAAGAAUCAUGACCAUGAUAGACUUCCUGCUUCCUGUUUCGAUUCACUCUUCAUGAAUGUAUCAUGUCAUUCGAUUCAUUAAAAUCCUGAGCAUGAAUCGUGGGAUAUUUUGAAAGUAAGUGUGAAAUAUUUGUAACAAAUAAUUCGUCCAUUGAAUAUUAAUGUAAUAACCAUAAUAUUUAUAUGAUUUCAAAUAUUUUAUUUAAUUUAAUUCUCAAUUCUAUCCAAAUUUCUCUAAGAUAAUCUUAUUCAAAUUAUUGUUAUUUUA